GCAACAACCCAGCAGCAGGACCACUACCUCUGCCCUUGUGCAAGGAGGAGCACUGCCAGAGCCCUGCAAAAUGACCUCCAGCAGGCCACAAAUUUGUAUUUAUUUAUUUUACCUUUAUUUAACUAGGCAAAUCAGUUAAGAACAAAUUCUUAUUUUCAAUGACGGCCUAGGAACAGUGGGUUAACUGCCUGUUCAGGGACAGAACGACAGAUUUGUACCUUGUCAGCUCGGGGGUUUGAACUUGCAACCUUCCGGUUACUAGUCCAACGCUCUAACCACUAGGCUACCCUGCCGCCCCAUAGA